CCUACGGGAGGCAGCAGUAAGGAAUAUUGGACAAUGCUCGCAAGAGUGAUCCAGCCAUGCCGCGUGCAGGAAGAAUGCCCUAUGGGUAGUAAACUGCUUUUGAACUAGAGAAAACCCCAGUACGUGUACUGGGCUGAUAGUAUAGUUAGAAUAAGCAUCGGCUAACUUCGUGCCAGCAGCCGCGGUAAGACGAAGGAUGCAAGCGUUAUCCGGAUUCAUUGGGUUUAAAGGGAGCGUAGGUGGACUGAUAAGUCAGCGGUGAAAUCUCCGAGCUUAACUCGGAAAUUGCCAUUGAUACUGUUGGUCUUGAGUACAGUUGCUGUGGGCGGAAUAUGACAUGUAGUGGUGAAAUACAUAGAGAUGUCAUAGAACACCGAUUGCGAAGGCAGCUCACAAAGCUGUAACUGACACUGAGGCUCGAAAGUGCGGGGAUCAAACAGGAUUAGAUACCCUGGUAGUCCGCACCGUAAACGAUGAUUACUCGCUACUAGGGGGCAACCUUUAGUGGCUUAGCGAAAGCGAUAAGUAAUCCCACCGNGGAGGACGCCGGCGACGGUAGAAACGUUAAAGUAAGUUAGUACGGACGUAGAGGACGNGGCGACGGACGACGACGACGGGGAGGUAGG
rnacentral:rRNA from 1 species